GACGAACGCUGGCGGCGUGCUUAACACAUGCCAGUCGAACGGAAAGGCCCUGCUUUUGUGGGGUGCUCGAGUGGCGAACGGGUGAGUAACACGUGAGUAACCUGCCCUUGACGUUGGGAUAACUUCAGGAAACUGGGGCUAAUACCGGAUAGGAGCUCCUGCUGCAUGGUGGGGGUUGGAAAGUUUCGGCGGUUGGGGAUGGACUCGCGGCUUAUCAGCUUGUUGGUGGGGUAGUGGCUUACCAAGGCUUUGACGGGUAGCCGGCCUGAGAGGGUGACCGGCCACAUUGGGACUGAGAUACGGCCCAGACUCCUACGGGAGGCAGCAGUGGGGAAUAUUGCACAAUGGGCGGAAGCCUGAUGCAGCAACGCCGCGUGCGGGAUGACGGCCUUGGGGUUGUAAACCGCUUUCGCCUGUGACGAAGCGUGAGUGACGGUAAUGGGUAAAGAAGCACCGGCUAACUACGUG
rnacentral:rRNA from 1 species